GAGGAGGGAGGAGGAGAGGAGGGAGGAGGCUGAGAAGGAGGUUCAGACCAUGAAAGAGGAGCUGGAGACCAAGAAGAAUGAGGUUGAAACUAAACGAGCUGAGCUUCAGACGCUCCAUGAAGAGAAGCUGAGGAACGAGACCCAACUGCAGAAGCUGAAGGAAGAGCUGAAGAACAAACAGGAAAGAACUCAAAACAGCCAAAGCAGAUUUUCUUUGGUAAGAGGUCAUGAUACAAGUACAAUAUAUACAAUGUAUUUAUAUAAUAUACAAUUUAUAUAAUAUAUGAGGUUUCCUAGUGUAAAUAAAACAGUCAUCCAAGGAAACACAAAGCAACUCCAUUACUGUGA